rnacentral:rRNA from 1 species
AAUGAACGCUGGCGGCAUGCCUAACACAUGCAAGUCGAACGAGACCUUCGGGUCUAGUGGCGCACGGGUGCGUAACGCGUGGGAAUCUGCCCUUGGGUUCGGAAUAACUCGCCGAAAGGCGUGCUAAUACCGGAUGAUGUCGUAAGACCAAAGAUUUAUCGCCCAAGGAUGAGCCCGCGUAGGAUUAGCUAGUUGGUGAGGUAAAAGCUCACCAAGGCGACGAUCCUUAGCUGGUCUGAGAGGAUGAUCAGCCACACUGGGACUGAGACACGGCCCAGACUCCUACGGGAGGCAGCAGUGGGGAAUAUUGGACAAUGGGCGAAAGCCUGAUCCAGCAAUGCCGCGUGAGUGAUGAAGGCCUUAGGGUUGUAAAGCUCUUUUACCCGGGAUGAUAAUGACAGUACCGGGAGAAUAAGCUCCGGCUAACUUCGUGCCAGCCGCCGCGGUAAUAC